rnacentral:miRNA from 1 species
CUGGCAUGUAGCAGAUACUCAAUAAGUAUUUGUUGAAUGAAUGAAACAAAUCUCAAUUCUAGUAGCCAGAGAAAGUUGUUAUG